UGGGGAAUUUUGUGCAAUGGGGGAAACCCUGACACAGCGACACCGCGUGAGCGAAGAAGCCCUUUGGGGUGUAAAGCUCUGUCAACGGGAACGAAAAAAAUGACGGUACCCGUGGAGGAAGCAUCGGCUAACUACGUGCCAGCAGCCGCGGUAAGACGUAGGAUGCAAGCGUUGUCCGGAUUUAUUGGGCGUAAAGAGUUCGUAGGCUGUUUGUUAAGUCUGAUGUUAAAGACUGGGGCUCAACCUCGGAAAUGCAUUGGAUACUGGCAGACUGGAGUGCAGUAGAGGCUAGUGGAAUUCCCAGUGUAGCGGUGAAAUGCGUAGAUAUUGGGAAGAACACCGGUGGCGUAGGCGACUAGCUGGGCUGUAACUGACGCUGAGGAACGAAAGCCAGGGGAGCGAAUGGGAUUAGAUACCCCCGUAGUCC
rnacentral:rRNA from 1 species